ACCCGAGUGAAGGCCGGGCAAGCAGCCGCAGACGCACCUGGCGAGGCCCUGCGCCUGGAUGGAUGGAAACUGGAUGGAUGGAAACACAGCCAGAACGGUUCUUAGGUCAAAAGACGCCGAGGGGAGCCUACUCUGUGAUCAUGUGUGAUGUGCCACCUGGAGACAAUUAUUCAUCAAAUGCCAGCUCAAGUGCCACUUCCUCUGAGAGCCGCUCACUAUUCUGCAUUUCUGCUUCCUCUGGGCUAAAGAGAAUGAAGGUGAUAGAGAUGACUACCAUACAAGUUGGUAAGAGGGAAAAAAAACUCUGGACAUGGCCCCAAAGACAGA